rnacentral:rRNA from 1 species
UACAGAGGGGGCAAGCGUUGUUCGGAAUUACUGGGCGUAAAGGGCGCGUAGGUGGCCUUCUAAGUUGAACGUGAAGUCCCUGGGCUCAACCCAGGAACUGCGUCCAAGACUGGGAGGCUUGAAUCCGGGAGAGGGAUGCGGAAUUCCAGGUGUAGCGGUGAAAUGCGUAGAUAUCUGGAGGAACACCGGUGGCGAAGGCGGCAUCCUGGACCGGUAUUGACACUGAGGCGCGAAAGCCAGGGGAGCAAACGGG